rnacentral:rRNA from 1 species
AUGACGGUGCUUGCAUGGAAUUGUCGAGGUCUCGGGCAGCCUCGCACAGUUCAAGAACUAGUGCGCCUCAUGCACACAUACAAGCCCAAGCUCGUCUUCCUCACUGAAACGCGGCAAAAUAAUAAGUAUGUUAGGAACCUCAAGUGGAGGCUCGGACUCCGUCAUUGUAUCACGCAACCCGUCAUUGGAAAAGGUGCCGACAUUGCCCUCUUUUAUGAUGAGAGUGUUGAAAUAAAAAAGAUUGCCGCAGGGGCGAGAUAUAUCAAUGUGUUAAUCCGUUUAAACCCCAAUGGUCUUCAGUGGAGGGGCACUUUUGUGUAUGGCGAACCAAAAGCACAUGAGUGGCACCAUAUGUGGACCAUGCUAAGAAUAAUAAAGGAUACAAGUAACCUCCUAUGGAUGAUGGUGGGGGACUUUAACGAAACUAUGUGGCAGGAAGAGCACUACUCUAUUUCCAAAAGAUCCUAG